GAUGAACGCUGGCGGCGUGCCUAACACAUGCAAGUCGAACGGGGUUAUUUAGGAAAGUCCUUCGGGACUGGAAUCUUUAGCCUAGUGGCGGACGGGUGAGUAACGCGUGAGCAAUCUGCCUUUAGGAGGGGGAUAACGACCGGAAACGGUCGCUAAUACCGCAUGACAUACCGGGAUGGCAUCAUUCUGGUAUCAAAGGAGCAAUCCGCCUUUAGAUGAGCUCGCGUCCCAUUAGCUAGUUGGUGAGGUAACGGCCCACCAAGGCGACGAUGGGUAGCCGGACUGAGAGGUUGAACGGCCACAUUGGGACUGAGACACGGCCCAGACUCCUACGGGAGGCAGCAGUGGGGAAUAUUGCGCAAUGGGGGAAACCCUGACGCAGCAACGCCGCGUGAUUGAAGAAGGCCUUCGGGUUGUAAAGAUCUUUAAUUGGGGACGAAUAAAUGACGGUACCCAAAGAAUAAGCUCCGGCUAACUACGUGCCAGCAGCCGCGGUAAUACGUAGGGAGCAAGCGUUAUC
rnacentral:rRNA from 1 species